GCCGUUGACAGAAUGCAGGCGGGAAGCUUCAGUUUGGGUAGAGAUGUAGCAUCAAACAUUCACGGAUGUCCAGGGAGCACGGGCACACAGGCUGCUGGCCAGAGACUAUUAUGAGCACAAUACACUAGUCAUGUCGGAGAUAACAGCCUGACCUCAGCGUGGCUGCAAAAUGAAGCCACUUUUGGCUUUCCUAAGCCAUCAGGAGGCUGCUCACAGCGCUGCUGGACUCUUUAAGCCCUGAGGUCAUGUGAAAAGAAGUUUGCCCUGUGUCCUUCUGUCUCCUGUUGGCUGUCCACAAAAUGGAGAAGGCGGAAGCAACCUGAGGCGUCCUCUUUGUCUGUAAAGAUAGAGAGUCCAUUGUGGAAGGGGGAGAUACAGGAACUAUAUAGGCGAGGCUCUACCGGACUGCAUCUCUUAUCUCCAGAAUUCUUUUACAGAAAAGAAAAAAAUAAACUUUUAUCUGGCUUAAGCCAC
ensembl:lincRNA Lockd lncRNA downstream of Cdkn1b